rnacentral:rRNA from 1 species
UGGGGAAUUUUGGACAAUGGGCGAAAGCCUGAUCCAGCAAUGCCGCGUGUGUGAAGAAGGCCUUCGGGUUGUAAAGCACUUUUGUCCGGAAAGAAAUCCUCUGGGUUAAUACCUCGGGGGGAUGACGGUACCGGAAGAAUAAGCACCGGCUAACUACGUGCCAGCAGCCGCGGUAAUACGUAGGGUGCAAGCGUUAAUCGGAAUUACUGGGCGUAAAGCGUGCGCAGGCGGUUUUGUAAGACGGAUGUGAAAUCCCCGGGCUUAACCUGGGAACUGCUUCGUGACUGCAAGGCUAGAGUAUGGCAGAGGGGGGUUAGAAUUCCACGUGUAGCAGUGAAAUGCGUAGAGAUGUGGAGGAAUACCGAUGGCGAAGGCAGCCCCCUGGGCCAAUACUGACGCUCAUGCACGAAAGCGUGGGGAGCAAACAGGAUUAGAUACCCUGGUAGUCCACGCCCUAAACGAUGUCAACUAGUUGUUGGGGAUUCAUUUCCUUAGUAACGUAGCUAACGCGUGAAGUUGACCGCCU